AUUGAACACUGGCGGCAUGCUUUACACAUGCAAGUCGAACGGUAACAGGGUGCUUGCACCGCUGACGAGUGGCGAACGGGUGAGUAAUGCGUCGGAACGUGCCGAGUAGUGGGGGAUAACGCAGCGAAAGUUGUGCUAAUACCGCAUACGUACUGAGGUAGAAAGUGGGGGACCUUCGGGCCUCACGCUAUUCGAGCGGCCGACGUCUGAUUAGCUAGUAGGUGAGGUAAAGGCUCACCUAGGCGACGAUCAGUAGCGGGUCUGAGAGGAUGGACCGCCACACUGGGACUGGGACACGGCCCAGACUCCUACGGGAGGCAGCAGUGGGGAAUUUUGGACAAUGGGCGAAAGCCUGAUCCAGCCAUGCCGCGUGUCUGAAGAAGGCCUUCGGGUUGUAAAGGACUUUUGUCAGGGAGGAAAUCCCUAGUGCUAAUAACACUGGGGGAUGACAGUACCUGAAGAAUAAGCACCGGCUAACUACGUGCCAGCAGCCGCCGUAA
rnacentral:rRNA from 1 species